UACGUAGGUGGCAAGCGUUGUCCGGAAUUAUUGGGCGUAAAGCGCGCGCAGGCGGCCUUUUAAGUCUGAUGUGAAAGCCCUGGGCUCAACCUGGGAAUUGCAUUGGAUACUGGCAGGCUAGAGUGCGGUAGAGGAUGGCGGAAUUCCCGGUGUAGCAGUGAAAUGCGUAGAGAUCGGGAGGAACAUCUGUGGCGAAGGCGGCCAUCUGGACCAGCACUGACACUGAGGCACGAAAGCGUGGGGAGCAAACAGG
rnacentral:rRNA from 1 species